rnacentral:rRNA from 1 species
AGCAGCCGCGGUAAUUCCAGCUCCAAUAGCGUAUAUUAAAGUUGUUGCAGUUAAAAAGCUCGUAGUUGAAUUUCGGGAUCAAUACGUCGGUCGUGCCUCGGUACGUACUGGCGUCAUUGAUUUCUCCCUUCUGAAGAACCGUGAUGCCAUUAACUUGGUGUCACGGGAAAUCAGGACUGUUACUUUGAAAAAAUUAGAGUGUUUAAAGCAGGCUCACGCUUGAAUACAUUAGCAUGGAAUAAUGGAAUAGGACGUUCGACCCUAUUUUGUUGGUUUCUAGGAUCAACGUAAUGAUUAAUAGGGAUAGUUGGGGGCAUUAGUAUCCAAUUGUCAGAGGUGAAAUUCUUGGAUUUAUUGAAGACUAACUACUGCGAAAGCAUUUGCCAAGGAUGUUUUCAUUAAUCAAGAACGAAAGUUAGGGGAUCGAAGACGAUCAGAUACCGUCGUAGUCUUAACCAUAAACUAUGCCGACUAGGGAUCGGAUGAUGUUAAUUUUUAAUGACUCAUUCGGCGCCUUAAC